AUGUUUUAUCUCUUUAACCAUGUGUCCAAAUUUCGAAUCUUGUUUAUCCUUGAAUUCCUUGCAACGAGAUCUUUAAAACUAGAUCCGAUGUUGAUAGAUUCUGACAAAAAAAUUUCUACGAAAAAACUUUGUCUCUCGCAGAAGGAAAAGAAAACACGUUUUUUUUUUGUUUCCGAGAAGCACAAUCAUGCCUCUCGCGGAAGGAAUAAACAAAACGCAUUUUUUUUGCCAUUUCCGAAAGGCACGUCCGUACCUCUCGCGGAAGCAAAACCGUGCCUCUUUGCAGAAGGAAAAGAAAUGAAAAGGCGUUUUUUUUUUCGUUUCCAAGAGGCACAACCGUGCCUCUCGCAGAAGGAAAAAACAAAACAGAUUUUUUUGCCGUUUCUAAGAGGCAUGACCGUGCCUCUCGCGGAAGCAAAUUUGUGA
rnacentral:rRNA from 1 species